GAUGAACGCUGGCGGCGUGCCUAAUACAUGCAAGUCGAGCGAACGGACGAGAAGCUUGCUUCUCUGAUGUUAGCGGCGGACGGGUGAGUAACACGUGGAUAACCUACCUAUAAGACUGGGAUAACUUCGGGAAACCGGAGCUAAUACCGGAUAAUAUUUUGAACCCCAUGGUUCAAAAGUGAAAGACGGUCUUGCUGUCACUUAUAGAUGGAUCCGCGCUGCAUUAGCUAGUUGGUAAGGUAACGGCUUACCAAGGCAACGAUGCAUAGCCGACCUGAGAGGGGGAUCGGCCAAACUGGAACUGAGACACGGUCCAGACUCCUACGGGAGGCAGCAGUAGGGAAUCUUCCGCAAUGGGCGAAAGCCUGACGGAGCAACGCCGCGUGAGUGAUGAAGGUCUUCGGAUCGUAAAACUCUGUUAUUAGGGAAGAACAUAUGUGUAAGUAACUGUGCACAUCUGGACGGUACCUAAGCAGAAAGCCACGGCUAACUACGU
rnacentral:rRNA from 1 species